rnacentral:rRNA from 1 species
GUCUAUGGCCAUACCACCCUGAAUACACCCGAUGUCAUCUGAUCUCAGAAGCUAAGCAGGGUCGGUCCUGGUUAGUACUCAACACUUGGAAGGAAGAAUUGAAAGGAAAUAAGAAGCAAAAGUAG